UAAUACGGAAGGUCCGGGCGUUAUCCGGAUUUAUUGGGUUUAAAGGGAGCGUAGGCCGGAGAUUAAGCGUGUUGUGAAAUGUAGACGCUCAACGUCUGCACUGCAGCGCGAACUGGUUUCCUUGAGUACGCACAAAGUGGGCGGAAUUCGUGGUGUAGCGGUGAAAUGCUUAGAUAUCACGAAGAACUCCGAUUGCGAAGGCAGCUCACUGGAGCGCAACUGACGCUGAAGCUCGAAAGUGCGGGUAUCGAACAGGAUUAGAUACCCUGGUAGUCCGCACGGUAAACGAUGGAUGCCCGCUGUUGGUCUGAAUAGGUCAGCGGCCAAGCGAAAGCAUUAAGCAUCCCACCUGGGGAGUACGCCGGCAACGGUG
rnacentral:rRNA from 1 species